rnacentral:rRNA from 1 species
AUUGAACGCUGGCGGCAGGCCUAACACAUGCAAGUCGAGCGGAUGAAGGGAGCUUGCUCCUGGAUUCAGCGGCGGACGGGUGAGUAAUGCCUAGGAAUCUGCCUGGUAGUGGGGGAUAACGUCCGGAAACGGGCGCUAAUACCGCAUACGUCCUGAGGGAGAAAGUGGGGGAUCUUCGGACCUCACGCUAUCAGAUGAGCCUAGGUCGGAUUAGCUAGUUGGUGGGGUAAAGGCCUACCAAGGCGACGAUCCGUAACUGGUCUGAGAGGAUGAUCAGUCACACUGGAACUGAGACACGGUCCAGACUCCUACGGGAGGCAGCAGUGGGGAAUAUUGGACAAUGGGCGAAAGCCUGAUCCAGCCAUGCCGCGUGUGUGAAGAAGGUCUUCGGAUUGUAAAGCGCUUUAAGUUGGGAGGAAGGGCAGUAAGUUAAUACCGUGCUGUUUUGACGUUACCAAAAGAAUAAGCACCGGCUAACUUCGUG